UAUAUGAAGGUGCAUAUAGUUUAACCUGCUCACUGAUUAUAUUAAAGAGCCGCAGUAUUCUGACUGUGCGAAGGUAGCAUAAUAAAUUGUCUUUUAAAUGAAGGCUUGAAUGAAAGGUUGGACAAAGUAUCAUCUGUUUCUUAAAUAUUUAUUGAAUUUGACUUUCAAGUGAAAAGGCUUGAAUAAAUUAAAAAGACGAUAAGACCCUAUAAAUCUUUACAAUAAACAUGUUCUAUAUUUUAAUUUAUAAUUGUAUAAAAUAUUAAAUUUGUAAUUGUUUCGCUGGGGCGGCGUAGAUAUAUAAAUAAACUGUCUAUUUAUUAAAUCCAGUAAUUAUUGAUUAAUAAAAUUGAUCCUUGAAUAGAUUAAAAGAUUAAGAUACUUUAGGGAUAACAGCGUUAUUUUUUUUGAGAGUUCCUAUCGAAGAAAAAGUUUGCGACCUCGAUGUUGAAUUAAAGUUUCUCUAUGGUGCAGCCGCUAUAAGAGAAAGUCUGUUCGACUUUUAAUACUUUACGUGA
rnacentral:rRNA from 1 species